rnacentral:rRNA from 1 species
GACGAACGCUGGCGGCGUGCCUAAUACAUGCAAGUAGAACGCUGAAGGAGGAGCUUGCUUCUCUGGAUGAGUUGUGAACGGGUGAGUAACGCGUAGGUAACCUGCCUGGUAGCGGGGGAUAACUAUUGGAAACGAUAGCUAAUACCGCAUAAGAGUAGAUGUCGCAUGACAUUUGCUUAAAAGGUGCAAUUGCAUCACUACCAGAUGGACCUGCGUUGUAUUAGCUAGUUGGUGAGGUAACGGCUCACCAAGGCAACGAUACAUAGCCGACCUGAGAGGGUGAUCGGCCACACUGGGACUGAGACACGGCCCAGACUCCUACGGGAGGCAGCAGUAGGGAAUCUUCGGCAAUGGACGGAAGUCUGACCGAGCAACGCCGCGUGAGUGAAGAAGGUUUUCGGAUCGUAAAGCUCUGUUGUAAGAGAAGAACGAGUGUGAGAGUGGAAAGUUCACACUGUGACGGUAUCUUACCAGAAAGGGACGGCUAACUACGUG